CGUAAAGAUUCCUGCCACUCCUUCUCCUCGGUGAGCUUUGCUCUGUUCUAGAUGCAAUCCAUGCAGUGGCUCCAAGUAGUUGACUGACCAAAAGAUUUAGAAGAGAAGAAGAGACAGUCAUGUUGAUAUGAACAUUAGAGAAACACAUCAUGGAGCUGAAAUAUGAUCCUGCUUCCUCAUUUGGACUCAUUCACCUCAGCUGACACAUUCAGCAGCAGACAGGUUUUUGUAGCAGUCUGUCUCACUGUGGGAGGAGGUAGCUACUACAUCUUUGGCUCUGGAACUAAACUGUCUGUAACAGAUGGAAACCAGAGCACCCAGAAAAGAACGACACAGGCACCGAGAAUUCAUGCAAACACACAGCAGAGCCCCACCCGACCAGCAGCAGGACCCAGAGUCCACGUGGCAGGGAACAGCUCCCUGCUGUGUGUGCCCCCAGCCAUGUUUCCUCCUCUGGUCCAGCUGUCAUGUAAAAGACAGAAGAAGAACAGCCAGCUGGAGGAGCUGCCCCCUGCUGAGGGAGAGCAGCUGGGACUGAUCCAUCAGAACAGAACAUAUAAAUGUAACUGCUACAUCAAAGAUGUCAGCAACAGCACAGUGGAGGCCCAAACACAACAAGAGGUUCCAGCUCCAGCAGCCUCCUGUCCUCCAGAGAGAGAGCCAGCAGACCUGCCAGCUCUGCAGCCAGCUGACUGUAAGAUCACCUGCUGCCUCUCUGCAUGGACAGCUCCAAUGUCCAAUGAGGGAACAAGUUUAGGGACUUAAAGUGUCACUAAUUGAUCAAAUCUUCAUCCAACAAGCUCUGAUAAAGCCACUGUACACUAGCUGCUCAGCACCAAACAGCAGACAGACCAUAAUAUGUCAGAGAUCAGUUUGUUAGCUGCUUGUGGAGUUCUUCUGCCCCCAAGUGGACACAAACACUACAUCAAUUCAUCCACUUGAAGAAGAAGCUGUGACUGUUUCUAUUUGGACUUUUUCUCCUUGAUCUGAGAGGAAUAACCCGACUGUCUGUCUGUCUGUCUCUUUGUGUCUGUCUGUCCUUCAGUGUCCUUCCAGUCUCAGUGCAGGGUGAAGCUGCUCUGCCUGCUGUACACAGUGCUGAUAGUGAAGAGUCUGGUGUACUGCUGUGGACUCUCUCUGCUGAUGAUCCUCACAAACAAGGGAG
ensembl:lncRNA